rnacentral:rRNA from 1 species
CGGGACUCUCUAGAGGCCUCGUAAUCGGAAUGAGUACACUUUAAAUAUUUUAACGAGGAACAAUUGGAGGGCAAGUCUGGUGCCAGCAGCCGCGGUAAUUCCAGCUCCAAUAGCGUAUACUAAAUUUGUUGCGGUUAAAAAGCUCGUAGUUGCAUUUGUGCGCCGCGCUGUCGGUGCACCGCAUCCGCGGUGAUACUGACACGUCUGCGGAGCAUAUCGUCGGUGAGCCGCCGGUAAAACGGCGGUUCAAUAUCAAAAUCCUAUCGCGGUGCUCUUCAGUGAGUGUCGAGAUGGGCCGACAAUUUUACUUUGAACAAAUUAGAGUGCUCAAAGCGGGCUCAAAAUGCUGCUUGAAUAUUUCGUGCAUGGAAUAAUAGAAUAUGAUCUCGGUUCUAUUUUGUUGGUUUUCAGAACUCCGAGGUAAUGAUUAAUAGGGAUAACUGGGGGCAUUCGUAUUGCGACGUUAGAGGUGAAAUUCUUGGAUCGUCGCAAGACGAACAUCAGCGAAAGCAUUUGCCAAAGGUGUUUUCAUCAAUCAAGAACGAAAGUUAGAGGUUCGAAGGCGAUUAGAUACCGCCCUAGUUCUAACCGUAAAUAUGUCAUCUAGCGAUCCGCCGACGUUAAUACGAUGGCUCGGCGGGCAGCUUCCGGGAAACCAAAGAUUUUGGACUCCGGGGGGAGUAUGGUUGCAAAGCUGAAACUUAAAGGAA